AUUGAACGCUGGCGGCAUGCCUUACACAUGCAAGUCGAACGGCAGCACGGGUGCUUGCACCUGGUGGCGAGUGGCGAACGGGUGAGUAAUAAAUCGGAACGUACCUUAUCGUGGGGGAUAACGCAGCGAAAGCUGUGCUAAUACCGCAUACGCCCUGAGGGGGAAAGCGGGGGAUCGCAAGACCUCGCGCGAUUAGAGCGGCCGAUGCCUGAUUAGCUUGUUGGUGGGGUAAAAGCCCACCAAGGCGACGAUCAGUAGCUGGUCUGAGAGGACGAUCAGCCACACUGGGGCUGAGACACGGCCCAGACUCCUACGGGAGGCAGCAGUGGGGAAUUUUGGACAAUGGGGGCAACCCUGAUCCAGCAAUGCCGCGUGAGUGAAGAAGGCCUUCGGGUUGUAAAGCUCUUUUGUCAGGGAAGAAACACCGGCUCUAACACAGUCCGGGAAUGACGGUACCUGAAGAAUAAGCACCGGCUAACUACGUGCCAGCCGCCGCGGUAA
rnacentral:rRNA from 1 species